rnacentral:rRNA from 1 species
GAUGAACGCUAGCGACAGGCCUAACACAUGCAAGUCGAGGGGCAGCACAAGGUAGCAAUACUGAGGUGGCGACCGGCGCACGGGUGAGUAACGCGUAUGCAACCUGCCUGUAACAGGGGAAUAGCCUCUUGAAAGAGAGAUUAAUGCCGCAUAAUACGAGAUUCGGGCAUCCGGAUUUAGUUAAACAUUUAUGGGUUACAGAUGGGCAUGCGUUUCAUUAGGUAGUUGGUGAGGUAACGGCUCACCAAGCCGACGAUGAAUAGGGGUUCUGAGAGGAAGGUCCCCCACACUGGUACUGAGACACGGACCAGACUCCUACGGGAGGCAGCAGUGAGGAAUAUUGGUCAAUGGACGCAAGUCUGAACCAGCCAAGUCGCGUGAAGGAUGAAGGUAUUAUGUAUUGUAAACUUCUUUUGUCAGGGAAUAAUGGGUGUCACGUGUGACGCAGAGGAAUGUACCUGACGAAUAAGCAUCGGCUAACUCCGUGCCAGCAGCCGCGGUAAUACGGAGGANGCGAGCGUUAUCCGGAUUUAUUGGGUUUAAAGGGUGCGUAGGCGGUUUGUUAAGUCAGUGGUGAAAGUUUGCGGCUCAACCGUAAAAUUGCCAUUGAAACUGGCGAACUUGANUACAGUA